rnacentral:rRNA from 1 species
GUAGGGAAUAUUGGGCAAUGGAAGGAAUUCUGACCCAGCCAUGCCGCGUGCAGGAAUACAGUCCUAUGGACUUUAAACUGCUUUUAUUAUAGAGUAACCUGGGGGACGUGUCCCCCACUGCAAGUAUAUAAUGAAUAAGCAUCGGCUAACUCCGUGCCAGCAGCCGCGGUAAUACGGGGGAUGCAAGCGUUAUCCGGAUUUAUUGGGUUUAAAGGGUGCGCAGGCUGAUCGGUAAGUCAUGGGUGAAAAGUCACUGCUUAACAAUGAUCGUGCCUAUGAUACUGCCGGACUAGAGUUUAAGAGGUGUAACUGGAAUGUGAUGUGUAGCGGUGAAAUGCUUAGAUAUGUCACAGAACGCCAAUCGUGAAGACAGGUUACAAACUUAAUACUGACGCUCAUGCACGAAAGCGUGGGGAUCAAACAGGAUUAGAAACCCUGGUAGUCC